rnacentral:rRNA from 1 species
AUACGGAGGGUGCAAGCGUUAUCCGGAAUCAUUGGGUUUAAAGGGUCCGUAGGCGGACUAUUAAGUCAGAGGUGAAAUCCCACAGCUCAACUGUGGAACUGCCUUUGAUACUGGUAGUCUUGAGUUAUAUGGAAGUAGAUAGAAUGUGUAGUGUAGCGGUGAAAUGCAUAGAUAUUACACAGAAUACCGAUUGCGAAGGCAGUCUACUACGUAUAUUCUGACGCUAAGGGACGAAAGCGUGGGGAGCGAACAGGAUUAGAAACCCUGGUAGUCC